GAUUCUUAUGUAGGGAAGACAGAAGACGAAAUGCUGUCUUUACUACCCUGCUCAACCCUAGCUCCCCACACAAACCAAUCCUAGUCAGUGACUUAAAAAUGGCCGAUUUAAAGCAAUUUCUUGCUGAUGACGGUGUCCAGGUUGAAUUUGCUGGUGGGGCUUUGCGAUGUGGUGAAUAUGUGAAUACGCAAGGUUGGGGAUGCAAGCCAUAAGGGUGGUGGUGCUGGUUCGCAGCAAGUUGUGAUUGAAGGACAUGAAGGUCCAGCAUGUGAGGAUUAUUACAAGAUACGGGAAUAUCUCUAUUCGCACUUUUAUUUUCUUUGAGAAACAAUUUAGGAAGUUUUGGGGUUAGUUGGAGCCUGGAGCCUAAAUUCUUUUAAUUAGACUGGGGCUGGGUGUAGUAGAUGAUCACUAACUAGCAUCUAUUAGUUAAGGGGUGUUCGUUUGACCUAUGAAAAACUUUACGGAACUCAUUGAGGCCUAUUUGUAUUGCAGCCUCAAAUCGAGUAUUCCCCAGUGGGCGAAAGUCCCCAUUUGUAACACAAAAGUAGAAAACAAUUCCAUUACCUGACUUCCAUAUAAUCCCAUUUAUAUCCAUAUUUGUGAAAGUAUGUAAGAUAUCCCAGGAACAGAAGUUGCAGAAUGGCAACUUCAACAUAAACCAUGCACUACUGGCUUCAGCAGAUUCAGCACUUUUCGUGUUAAAUACAUCACUCAUGAUUCUAGUUCCUAGAUAAUACAUUCCCCAGGCUCCACUCUCGUCUUCUCUCAACUGUGAUUCCAAGGCUUUUGUGUUUUUCUUCCUUGACGACUUCUUAUUGUUUCAUUAUUUCACCACGUGUAUUUCUGAUAAUUUUGUGCAUCUGGGAC
rnacentral:lncRNA from 1 species